GACCGUGACGACUUUUUAAUAGAGACGGACGUGCCCUCGAUAGAACAACAGGAUUCCGCCUUCAGGUGUUUGGGGCUCUGCUGAAAGUGUGGGUCCUCGCGCUGGGGGCUGAACCGCCCUGAGGUGUGAGCAAAGGGAUCCAGAUCCAAGCUGAUUCUUACCCGCGUUGGGAGUCGGUGCCAUGGCUGUCUCGUAGCUCUUCAUGCAACUCAUAUCAGGUGCUUGAAGAAGGCAGGUUCUGAGGAUCUGUGUCCUGAUGGCUGUAGAAGCUUCUACUCCAGAUUCAAGGGCAGCAGUCCUCAGGAGACCCCAACAGAAGUUCCACUCUCCUGGUGGAAAUUGAUGCCUGGCUCAAAGGAGAUGACUUUACCAUGAACAACUCAUAGAACCCACUGGGAUUUGAAGGAGCAUGGAAGCAAAUAUAUAUGUUACAAGUAUAUAUCCGCUGACCUUUCUUUGUAGAGAAGUUUAAUGAUGGUGGUGAGUUGGUGCCAUCUUGUGACAAAAACCUGAACUGCAGCUUGAACUUCGCGGAGCAGGAAGAUGGGAGGGAGGGGCUGUGGCCCCAAACCAACCAGAGCUUUCUGGAAGUCUGCGUGGAAAGGGGACAUUUCCAAGCUCUUCAUGGUGGUGGCCCAGCUCCUAUCAUGUGCCUGAAGGAGGCAGGUUCUGAGGUUCUGUGUCUGGAUGGCUUCUACUCCAGCAGUCUUUAGGAGAGCCCAUCACCUUACAUCCCUGGUGGGAUAUGGUACCUGGCUGAAAGAGAGAGAGCAAGGGGAGUGGCAGAGGGAGAGGG